AGCCCCAGGAGUCCCAGGUGUUCCCAUUCUGUGAUCACACAGAACACACACACCUCACCAUGGAGUUUGUGCUGGGCUGGGUUUUCCUGGUUGCUCUUUUAAAAGGUGUCCAAUGUGACGUGCAGCUGGUGGAGUCUGGAGGAGACCUGGUGAAGCCUGAGGGGUCCCUGAGACUCACCUCCGUUGCCUCUGGAUUCACCUUCAGUAGCUAUUACAUGCACUGGGUUCCCCAGGCUCCAGGGAAGGGGCUGCAGUGGGUCUCAUGGAUUAAUACUGAUGGAAGUAGCACAAGCUACGCAGACUCCGUGAAGGGCCGAUUCACCAUCUCCAGAGACAACGCCAAGAACACGCUGUAUCUGCAGAUAAACAACCUCAAGACCGAGGACACGGCCACAUAUUACUGUGCAAGAGACACGGUGAGGGGACAUGUAACCAUGGUGACAGUGACUCUGCUGAUGAUGACUCAGGAUGCUCAGGGAGCCUUGCAGAUGGACUACCCCUUCAGGCCUCCAGACUGUUACUACCUCGGCUACCUGGAGGAGAUUCCUCUUUCCAUGGUCACAAUUGACACAUGCUAUGGCAGCCUUGUAGAUAUGAUGAAGUUGGGUUAA